GUCCACAACACCACCUCUUCUUCCUCUACCUUUUUUUUUUUCUCGGGGAAAUAAGAAAUUCAAUUUUAUAAAAAUUCAAUAAAGUAAUGGGCCUCAAAAGAUGAGAAAAUUAAGAAAGGAAAUCUUCAUCUUCCUUUGUUCCCCUCAAGCGAAACACAACCUCAAAAAAUUAAAAUAUUUUUUUAAAAUAAUAAAUCUACACCGCUUCAAUUGAGGGAAACGAGAACUUUCUCAGGUGUUCUAUAAUCUUCUGAAUUUCCAUAUUUCAGAAAAAUUUACUUAUUUAAAUAUACUUAUUUUCAUUUUUUUUCUAUUUAUAUAAUUUUUUUUUUUACAAUGAUGAUAGAUUCCCUGCUGCUAAACUUCCUCUGGCUCUGCCUAUUACAACACCCUUGCAAGCUUAGGAUUUAAAAAUAGGAGGGAAAACAGAGGUCGUACCGGCACCACUAUCCGAUGAUAUAUUUCACUUAUAUAUAUAUAUAUUAUAUCUGGAAAUUA
rnacentral:misc_RNA from 1 species